ensembl:lncRNA
UAAGUGAUAACAGCCAACAUGUGUCUGAUAUAAGAAAAGAUACAAACCCAUCUUACGACUUUAGAGAUGUGAACACAGAAUCCAAGAAGGAGGUUCUAAAGCAGAAAGAGGAACCACAAUUAGAGGAACUUGUGUUGCAUGAUCAAGAAUCUUCAUUAAGCCAACAUGACAUAGCUACUCUAAAUAAUAACUAUGAUUGUUCUAUGGUUCAACAUAUAGUGGGAGGGAGUAGAAGUUUUGAUAUGCCUAUGUCUAACAUUAGCCAUGCUGAACCCACAACGACCAAUUUACCACAUGAGAUGAGGGAUGCUGUUGAAGAAAGGCAAGAGAUUCAUAUAGAAAUGAAACAAGAAAAUAAUGUUUGUGAUGUUGCUUCAGUAACAUGUGAUAGUCUGACUAAUUUAGUGUCUAUUACGGAAGAAGUUGAAGAUCCCCACAUUUUAGCAACGAGAGAAAAUGAGAAUAUGAGUGUUGAAAGAGGAUCUGAAUCAGAAUAUGCAUUUGAAAUGACAGACCAGGGUGAUGUAAGAGAUCACAAUGUAACACAAAUAAUAAUGGAUGUAAGAGAUCAUGAAAAAGACGGAGAAACAAGCACAGAGACCAUUUGGAUUUCACACAAGAAACCGUGUGAUGUUUCAACUGAAAAUAAGGAGCUAUAUAAAGGACAAGAGCAUUAUUCAUCAAAUAUAUCUCUAACACACAGUCAAACACACGAUGAUGCUGGGAAGAUGCUAGAAAAUGAGGAGGUUAGAAAAGACAAAAAAGAGACUGAGAAUACUGCAGUUAAUGAUGUGACCUCAAAGUCAGAGGAAAUGUUUAGUUUUGAAGACUCAGCAACAGAUACAGGAUCUCACGCACAACAACAACUGUUUAUGCAAUCUCCUGAUAAAGAAGACUAUGACUUGCAUGAAAAUGUGAAUGAGAAACGUGAAAAGGAAGAAAUACUUUUCAGUGUAGAAUCAGAGAAUGUAGCUUUUGAUAGAGGCAAUGAGAGAAGUGAAGGAACAGACGGAAUUAAGGAGAUGGAUGCAGCACCAGUCCUGACAUUAGAUGUGGGAGAUGCAGACCUACAUUUAGAAGUUGAAGCACAGAACAAAACAUUUGACUCAACAAACAGUGAAGCAGAUGGAACAGAAGAGAAUAUCAAUGGUGCUAGUGUUUUAGUCAGAGAAAAUAAAGUUAUUGGAAAUACAGUGGAGAGUAAUAUGACUCCUGAUGCACACAUGGAAGCAUUGGAAGUAUCUGAAAAUGCUGAGCAAGAAGUUUCAGGAGAAACAAUUCUCAAGCAAAGUGACAUCAACAUCGUUCCUGAAGAUUCUCAUGAAGAGGAGGCACACACAAAAUCAAGUCCAGUUAUUCAGAAGAGAAAAAUGGGCUCAACUCGUAGACCUCUCAAAGGGAAUAAAGGACUAAGAAAAGGUCAUGAUGAAAAAGAAAUCUUCAAUUUGGAGGAUAAACCCAGUCCAGAUGAAUCCAGAUAUACUGCAGUGAGUAUCUGUGACAUUUCAGAAUCACAAACUUUCACAAAAAUCUAUGCAGGGUCCCAGGAAAAUACUGGAGAUGUUGAAAUAGUGCCAGCAGAGGGAGACACAGAAUCACACUCAGAAAACAAAACGUUUGACUCAACAGCAUUUGAAGGAGAAGUUGAAGUCAGAGAAGUUGAAGUUAUUGGAGAUACCGUGGGCAGUAAUAUGACUACUGAAUCAGAUUUUCAUCAAAUUUCUGAUGCAAACAUGGAAACGUUGAAAGUAUCUGAAAAUCCUGAUAGUGAAGAUUUAGAACUCAGAAGUUCACAAUCAGAAAUUCAACCAGAAAACAAAAUGAUUGAGUUAACAUCUGAAGCAGAAAGAACAGAAGAUAUCAUCUGUGAAGCUAGUGUUUUAGUCAGAGAAGAUGAGUUUACUGUAGAUACGGUUAUAGUGGACAGUAAUAUGACUAUAGAGUCAGAUUUGCUUCAGAGUGACACUUUAAAUGAUGCAAAACUGGAAGCAUUGAAAUUAUCUAAAAAUACUGUGAGUGUUUCUGCUGUGAUGGAUUCUGUGCUUCUUGUGCAAGAGGAUGUCACUGAAGGAUCAAGAGAGACAGACAAAUUUCCUGAGCAAAGUGACAUCAACAUCAUUCCUGAAUAUUCUCAUGGAGAGGAGGUACACUCAAUAUCAAGUCUAAUUGUUCACAAGCGAAAAAUGUGCUCAACACGUAGACCUCUCAGAGGGAACAAAGGACAAAGAAAAGAAAUAGAACAUCAUGAUGAAAAUGAGACACUUGACAGUGAAGGUAUGAGCAAUGCAGAGAAAGAAACAAUUUGUUUGGAGAAUGAACCCAGUCCAGAUGAAUCUACAUUACAAAGUUUAAAAGAUGGAGCUAAAAAGCAGGAGAUGGAAAUAUGUGAGAAGAAUGAUGUUGAUCCUGUUAAAGGGUCUGAAUCCACUCUCCUGCAGUCAUCAUGUACUUCAGAUUUAGUGUCUAAGGAAUCCACAGCAAUAAGUAUCUGUCACAUCACAGAAUCACAAACCCUCACAAAUAUUCAUGUAGAGUCUCAAGAAAAUAUUGGAGAUGCUGAAAGAGUGGCAGCAGAGGAUGACAAAGACUUACAAUUAGAAAUUGACUCACAGAACAAAACAUUUGACUUAGCAACCAGUGAAGCAGAUGGAACAGAAGAGAACAUCCAAGACGUUAGUGUGGCAUUAAUCAGAGAAGUUGAAGUUAUUGGAGAUACAGUUACAGUAGAGAGUAAUAUGACUACUGAGUCAGAUUUUUUUCAAACUUCUCCUGAUGCACACAUGGAAGCAUUGAAAGUAUCUAAAAAUGCUGAGAGAGAAGUUUCAGGAGAAACAAACACAAUUCCUGAACAAAGUGACAUCAGCAUCAUUCCUGCAGAUUCUCACAGAGAAGAGACACACUCAAAAUCAAGUCCAGUUAUUCAGAAGAGAAAAAUGGGCUCAACUCGUAGACCUCUCAAAGGGAAUAAAGGACUAAGAAAAGGUCAUGAUGAAAAAGAAAUCUUCAAUUUGGAGGAUAAACCCAGUCCAGAUGAAUCCAGAUAUACUGCAGUGAGUAUCUGUGACAUUUCAGAAUCACAAACUUUCACAAAAAUCCAUGCAGAGUCCCAGGAAAAUACUGGAGAUGUUGAUAUAGUGCCAGCAGAGGGAGACACAGAAUCACACUCAGAAAACAAAACAAUUUACUCGCCAGCAUUUGAAGGAAAAGCAACAGGAGAGAACAUCUGUGCAGCUAGUGCUUUAGACAGAAACGUUGAGUUUAUUGGAGAUGCAGUUAUAGUGGACAGUAAUAUGACUACAGAGUCAGAUAUUGUUCAGAAUGACACUUCCACUGAUGCAAAACUGGAAACAUUGGUAUCUGAAAAUGCUGAGAAUGAAAUUUCAGGAAAAACAGACAUCAUUUCCAAACAAAGUGUUCCCAACAUCAUUCCUGAAGAUCUUCAUGGAGUGGAGGUACACACAAAAUUGAACCUUAAUGUGCAUAAGCGAAAAAUGGGCUCAACUCGUAGACUUCUUAGAGGGAACAAAGGACAAAGAAAAGUGAGAGUAGAAUCCAAGGAAAAUAAUGGAGAUAGUGAAGGAGUGUCAGAAGAGGAAGACACAGAAACACACUCAGAAAUUCAAAACUGGGAUAACGUGGUUGAUCAGAAUGUGACACAAGAAAUUAUGAAUGUAAGAGAUGUUGAAGAUGAGGAGAGAAAGACCACGAAGACACUGGACAUGUCAGUGCAGGUGCUAUGUGAUGAUUUGGAACUAGAGCAAAGAUCAGAUGCAUCUCAAACACAAACUGGUCCAUCACAGGAAGAUUCUGGCUCAUAUUUAGUAGAGUUCCUAGAAAGAACUGCAGAUAUUGUGAGAGACAGUAAUAGUCUUUCUGAUAUGGUAAUGUCUGAUGCCCUUCUUAUGGAAGAAACCCAAAUUCAUGUGUCAUCUAAUGAUGUUCCUCCAACAGAGGUGGUUGAAAUGAAUCCAGUCUCCAAAAAGUCUAUGCAGAAGAGAAAAAUUGGGUCAACUCGGAAGAGAGGUAAGAGGAUGGUAAAUGACAAGGAGGUUGAAGAAGAGAAAGAGGGAGAAACUGAAAAUACAACAGUUGAUGAUGAGACCACAGAGUCAGAGGAGAAAUUAACACUUGAAGAAGCCAUUACAGGAUCUCCUGUACAUCAGCAACUGUUCAGUUCAUCUGCUGAUAAAGAAGACCAUGACAUUCAGGAUAUUGUUUGUAAAUCAGAUGUGCAGGCAGAAAACUCAAAACAAAAUGAUCCAAACUCUACCAUAAAUCCAGAACUAUUGAUAGAAUCUGAAUGUUCUUCAAAUGUUGCUGCUGAAAUGGUUUCAGACCUUCCAUUGGGAGAUGUCGACACAUACUUAGAUCCUAAACAAAGUGUCAUUCCUAAAGAGUCUCACAGAGAAGAUCAACCAAACUUGAAUCCGGUUGUUCAAAAACGAAAAAUGGGGUCGACACGUAAGAUGCUCAGAGGGAACAAAGGGCAGGGAAGAAUAGCAGAAUCCAAAAAGAUGGAUGGAAAUAGUGAAGGAAUGAUACAAGAACAGGAUACAGAACCACAUUUUGAAACUAGUGCAAGAAAAACUGAAUUUGAUGAAGACGUUGAACAAAACUUCCCAUUUGAAUGUUCUCAUCCAGUGGCUUCUUCAAACAUGCUCCUUGAACCAGAAAAUGGAUUGACGGAAGUUUCUCCGAAUAUUCAUGACCUAUCUGAGGUGAGUGAGGAAAAGGGGAUGGACAAUACUGGAAAUGACAGUAAUAGUCUGAGUGAGGCAAUUAAUCUCAAGGAGGGGACAAAGGACAAAUUGGUCUUGACAAUUAGUCACGAAGAUGUUCAUCAGAUUGUGUCAGAGCCUGCACAAACUGAAAACACACACGAGGUUAUUCCUACACAAGAACUAAGAGCCACUCAAGAUGAUGUUGUUCAUGAAAACAACUCUCGAAAAAUACCUGCCACCCAAGAAAAGAGGCGAAAGAUGGGCACAACCCGGAGAAAUCCCCGAGCAAUGCAUGGGAAAAAUAUGGCCGAUAAUGAAGAUGUACUUGGUGUGGCAGAGGAUAGAGAAACUAAGAAAGCAGAGAAUGAUUUAGAAGAAGCAUUAAGCAUCAGUCAGUCCAAGGAUGUGUCUUCAGUCAGUACCACAGAUCUUAAUUCAGAAAUGUUAGCUAGUGUAACUGAUUUAAAAGUUGAAAAUGAUAAUCUUCACAGUUUUAGACCAACAGUACCUGAAACACAUGAAAAUACCCUUCAAAUAUGUGACAAUCAAUUAGAAAAUGCUGAUGUUACCAAACAUCCACAGUCAGAGACUGUUACCAUUGAGAAGAGAAGAAAGAUGGGCUCGACUCAGAAGAAUCUCAGAGAAGGAGGUAUACGAGGAAAAAGAGAUGGAUAUGAGGACACAGAAAUUGAAGACACAAAUGUGCAAAUGUCUCAGGACUCUGAAAUGAGCUUAGUAAGAGAAGAUGUAAGACAACAGACAACUCACGACUACUCCAAUCAGCCAGAGGAUUCACUUCUCAGUGAGAUAGAGAGAGCAUUAAAUAAGACGUCUCAAAGUUCAUUAAGUUGGGAUUGGGAAUUAAUCGUCAAAGAGCCAAACCCAGAUGGCUUAGCCAAUGCUCCUGAUCUCAAUAUGCCAGAAAACUCAGAAAUCAAAUCUCUUCAGCCAAUGCCAUCGGCUCACAGUGAACCCAACUCACCAGGAGGACGAAGAAGAAAAAUGGGUUCAACUCACAAAAAUCUCAGACAGCAGUUCAAAGCAGAAAGGGAGGAUGAAGACAAAGAGGAUGGGGAGAUAGAUGAGAACUCAAAGACAAAUAAGCAAGAAAAGAAGGACCUUGAAAGAGUUGAGGUGUCUGUAGUGCAUAAUAUUACUGAAAACAAACUGAAUAAAGAGUAUCUCGAUGUCUCUAGUGCACACACAAGUAGCAAUCAGCUAGAAGAGAGCACUAACCCUGUUAGCCAAGAAAAGACGUCUCCAUCAACUAAAAGGAAGUUUGGGUCCAGACGUGCUAAUAAGGGCAAACAAGGCCUUGGUAGGUUGGCUGAUUCUGAUUUUGGGAAUGAUUUAGAAGAUGGAGAUCAUAAAUCAGACAGCUCUGAGGUCAAGGACAAGCUGCACAGUGAUGACUUAGCGGUUUGUGAUCCGUGCCUCACCUUACAACCAGAGAAUCAACCAGCUUCUGAGCAAAGGAACAUGGAAGCCAAGUAUGACACAGAGCUAUAUAAGAGUUCUUUAUGUCUUUGUUAUAAGAAAAUAAUUAACUUUUUUCUUUUUUUCUUCUCCAGAAAUGAAGAAGCUGCUCCAAAAGGCACUGGUGCUGGUCUCGUUUCUUUGGACCAAAUCAUAAAACAUGAUAGCACUGGAGCUAAGCAGACAGUAAAUUUAAAGAACAGGAGUGAGUAAAGUGAUAAAAUAACGUCAUGUAAUUGUACCUUAAAGUUUAAUAUCUAAUACUCAUCUAAACACAAACUCUGUCAUAUAGUUUCAGAUACUGAAGUAGUUCAGUUUAAUGUUGUCAUGGUGGGAAACAGCUGUGUGGGAAAGACUUCCUUCAUAAGACGCUUCCAUGAAGACCAGUUCACUGAGGAUUACCGCUCCACUAUUGGUGAGU